rnacentral:rRNA from 1 species
AUUGAACGCUGGCGGCAGGCCUAACACAUGCAAGUCGAACGGUAGCACAGAGAGCUUGCUCUCGGGUGACGAGUGGCGGACGGGUGAGUAACGUCUGGGAAACUGCCCGAUAGAGGGGGAUAACCACUGGAAACGGUGGCUAAUACCGCAUAACGUCGCAAGACCAAAGAGGGGGGAACUUCGGGCCUCCCACUAUCGGAUGAACCCAGAUGGGAUUAGCUAGUAGGCGGGGUAACGGCCCACCUAGGCGACGAUCCCUAGCUGGUCUGAGAGGACGACCAGCCACACUGGAACUGAGACACGGUCCAGACUCCUACGGGAGGCAGCAGUGGGGAAUAUUGCACAAUGGGCGCAAGCCUGAUGCAGCCAUGCCGCGUGUAUGAAGAAGGCCUUCGGGUUGUAAAGUACUUUCAGCGGGGAGGAAGGCGAUGUGGUUAAUAACCGCGUCGAUUGACGUUACCCGCAGAAGAAGCACCGGCUAACUCCGUGCCAGCCGCCGCAGUAA